GAUUACAUUAUUAUAGGAACUGAACCACAGACACCUUGAUUACAUUAUUAUAGGAACUGAACCACAGACACCUUGAUUACGUUAUUAUAGGAACUGAACCACAGACACCUUGAUUACGUUAUUAUAGGAACUGAACCACCGACACCUUGAUUACGUUAUUAUAGGAACUGAACCACCAACACCUUGAUUACAUUAUUAUAGGAACUGAACCACCGACACCUUGAUUAUAUUAUUAUAGGAACUGAACCACCGACACCUUGAUUACAUUAUUAUAGGAACUGAACCACAGACACCUUGAUUACAUUAUUAUAGGAACUGAACCACAGACANNNNNNNNNNNNNNNNNNNNNNNNNNNNNNNNNNNNNNNNNNNNNNNNNNNNNNNNNNNNNNNNNNNNNNNNNNNNNNNNNNNNNNNNNNNNNNNNNNNNAAAGGUGAGCUUACAGAGGAAGGAAUGGAUGGAUGUGACAGACUCAUUCAUCCGUUUGACAAAAUAUCAACACAAUCAGAUCUGACUUGAUGUCUCAAGAUCUUUUAAGUUUGAGGCUUACGGAGGAGAGCGGUACACCCUGAGUAUGAAUAACUCUUUCAAACCCUGUAUCAUCUCCUCACAGCUGGAGGCAGCCAUCUUAACCGCGAAACAGCAGGGCCAGUCCAGCGUGGGGAAGACUGUGGAACAGGAGAAGACUGCUCUGAAGAGAGAGCUGGACGUGAUGCAUCAGGAGCUACUCUCUGCUCAGAACAAGGUGUGUGAGGUUCAGCGAGAGCUGGACAGUCUACGUCAGGAGAAUGAGGGGCUGAAGACCCAACAGGCUCCACUACAGGCCUGGCUUCUGGAGGUCAGUUCUCUGCCAGCCUUCCCUAACUUCUCCCUCACUUGUACUCUGGACUUUAGUCUACCUGUCAAACACCUGUCCUCUUUUUUUUAAAUGUCACCUUUCUCCCUCUUCCUUACUCUUCUGUAAUCUCCUAUAUAAACAGUAAAAAAAAUAUAUGUUUUUGUAACACCAAUAAUUUUCCAGAAACACUAUAAAAGUUUGCCGGGCACUGGUGCCUCCUGUCCCAACCCACCUGUCUCUUUAACACAGCCUCUAUCCAUCUGUCUCUGUCUAUCCCUCCUACCCUACAUUAUGUCCCCUGUCUCUACUCUCUCCCCAUCUCUCUUUUUCUCUCAUGUCUCUCCCCCGACUCGCUCUCCUCCCUCUGUCUCUCUCCCCCGACUGUCACUCUCAAACUAAAAAUAGUUCUACAGGCAGUUGUUACAACAACAAGAAAAUAGCUUCAAUAGUUGUGUCCAGAUACUGGUGGAUUCAACUAAUAUAAGAAUGGAUGUCCUGAUCAGAGAUGUUCAGGAUGUGAAGAACAGUUUUUUUUUAGGUCUCCCAGGGGUCAGCAUGAUGAGUUUAAACAGGAGAACGUAAAGAUGACAGUAAUAUGUAAGUCAUUGAGAGAGGACAUCAGUUCUGUAUGUGAAUCCAAUGAUAGAGAAAUCAGAUUAUCUCCAGGGACAACCAAGGCAGAACAACAUGGUUGUGGACGGAAUUGCAGAAUCUCCACAUGAGACCUGGACGGAGUCUGAGAACAAAGUGAGGGAAAUGAUCUUGGAGAUACUGAAGGUGGACCACAGGAAGAUUGAGGUGGCCUGACAGGACUAGAAAACCCACCACCGGCCCAGGUGACAGGCCCAGGUGACAGGCCCAGGUGACAGGCCCAGGUGACAGGCCCAGGCCGAUAGUGGUCAAGUUCCUGAGGUUCAAGGACAAGGUAGCUGUUCUGGAAAGAGACGACAACUUGAGAGGAAUGUACAUCUUCCUCAACGAGGACUAUCCUGAAGCUGUGCGCCAGAAGAGGAAAGAACUGAUCCCAGACAUGAAAGCUGCCAGAGCGCGUGGAGACAUACACCCUCUAUGACAGACUCAUUGUCCACCUGACCUCCCAGAAGCCUGGAAGGAAUGAGAGAACCAAGCCUAUGGCUUCAAUCCUGCAGUGCGCGCGCACACACACACACACACACGCACACACACACACACACACACACACACACACACACACACACACCAACUGUUUAAUGUCUUUUUUUUCUAUUGCCUCGCUUGCUCUUUUCCAUAUUGUCUCUGAUCAGCUACCCAGGAAAGGUCUAAAAGAUAGCCCAUAUCAAUAUAUGUAGCCUUAGAAAUAACGUUCAUGAAAUCAAUAAUAAGUAUAGUCAGAAAAUAUUCAGACCCCUUCCCCUUUUCCACAUUUCAUGUUACAGCCUUAUUCCAAAAUGGAUUAAAUACAAAAAUCUACACACAAUACCCCAUAAUGACAAAGUAAAAACAAGUUUUUAGAAAAUGUUGCAUAUUUAUAAAACAAAUACCUUAUUUACAUAAGUAUUCUGACCCUUUGCUAUGAGACUGGAGAUUGAGCCCCGGUGCAUCCUGUUUCCAUUGAUCAUCCUUCAUGUUUCUACAACUUGAUUGGAGUUCAUCUGUGGUAAAUUCAUUUUGAUUGGACAUGAUUUGGAAAGGAUGAGGUCUAUAUAAGGUCCCACAGUUGACAGUACAUGUCAGAGCAAAAACAAUGCCAUGAGGAAGAUGGAAUUGUCCGUAGAGCUCUGAGGAAGGGUACCAAAAACAUUAUGCAUCAUUGAAGGUUCCCAAAGACCACAGUGGCCUCCAUUAUUCUUAAAUGGAAGAAGUUUGGAACCACCAAGACUCUUCCUAGAGCUGGCCGCCCGUCCAAACUGAGCAAUAGGGGGAGAAGGACUUUGGUCAGGGAGGUGACCAACAACCCGAUGGUCACUCUGACAGAGCUCCAGAGUUCCUCUGUGGAGAUGGGAGAACCUUCCAGAAGAACAACCAUCUCUGCAGCACUCUACCAAUCAGGCCUUUAUGGUAGAGUGGCCAGACGGAAGCCACUCCUCAGUAAAAGGCACACGAUGAUAUGCUUGGAGUUUGUCAAAAGCACCUUAAAGGACUCCCAGACCAUGAGAAAGGUACAAGAACGGUGACUGUUUGAGGUUGUGGAUAGGUUUCGUUUAUACUGAUAACAAGUUCCAACAGAUGCCAUUAAUACAGGUAACGACGGGGAGGGGUGGGGGGGUACUGUAGAUUACAUUUAUCUUGGCCAGGUCGCAGUUGUAAAUGAGAACUUGUUCUCAACUAGCCUACCUGGUUAAAUAAAGGUGAAAUAAAAAAACGAGUGGAGGACAGAGGAGCCUCUUAAAGAAGAAGUUACAGGUCUGUGAGAGCCAGAAAUCUUGCUUGUUUGUAGGUGACCAAACACUUAUUUUCCACCAUAAUUUGCAAAUAAAUUCAUUAAAAAUCCUACAAUGUGAUUUUCUGGAUUUUUUUUUUCUCAUGUUGUCUGUCAUAGUUGAAGUGUACCUAUGAUGAAAAUUACAGGCCUCAUCUUUUCAAGUGGGAGAACUUGCACAACUGGUGGCUGACUAAAUACUUUUUUAACCCACUGUGUGUAAAUUGUUAAGUCUUGUCUGUUUUUUUCGUUGUGUCGGACCCAAAUAAGACUAGGAGUCGCUAAUGAGAUCCUAUCAAAUCCUCCAUCUCUUUCCUUGACUGUAUCUGUCCUGUCUGUCGCUCCUCUCUCUCCUGACUCCUCAUUAUCUCUUCUUCUCCUAACAAUCAUCCUUGUCUCUCUAGGCCCAGCUGGGUGGUCUGUUGCCCCCCUCCCCUCGCAGGAUGCCUGGUGAGUGGAGAGGACAACACUGCGAGAACGACCACAACCCAGAGAACAUACAGGUAGGAGAGAUCAAGGCUUCCCAUCACUUCCUGUAGCAGGCUAAUCACCUCCUGUAGCAGGCUAAUCACCUCCUGUAGCAGGCUAAUCACCUCCUGUAGCAGGCUAAUCACCUCCUGUAGCAGGCUAAUCACCUCCUGUAGCAGGCUAAUCACCUCCUGUAGCAGGCUAAUCACACCUCUAACUGGAAAUCUAUCCUCAGAUCUUCUUCUAGUUCCUUGAAUCAAUCAAUGCAGCUGGCAUAUCUGGUGAUCUACAAUCUAGCACUUAGUAUACAGUAUCUUCACCCUCACGGUGUUCAACAGCUAUUUACUGCUACUUUCACACUUUAUACACUGUAUUCUACAGCUCUUCAUCAUAUCCUGUUGAUUAUGGGAAUACCUGACUCUUCUGAUCUGCAUUGAUUACACUCUGAUGGGAACUGAACCACAGACACCUUGAUUACAUUAUUAUAGGAACUGAACCACAGACACCUUGAUUACAUUAUAGGAACUGAACCACAGACACCUUGAUUAUAUUAUUAUAGGAACUGAACCACAGACACCUUGAUUACAUUAUUAUAGGAACUGAACCACCAACACCUUGAUUACAUUAUUAUAGGAACUGAACCACAGACACCUUGAUUACAUUAUUAUAGGAACUGAACCACAGACACCUUGAUUACAUUAUUAUAGGAACUGAACCACAGACACCUUGAUUACAUUAUUAUAGGAACUGAACCACAGACACCUUGAUUACAUUAUUAUAGGAACUGAACCACAGACACCUUGAUUACAUUAUUAUAGGAACUGAACCACAGACACCUUGAUUACAUUAUUAUAGGAACUGAACCACAGACACCUUGAUUACAUUAUUAUAGGAACUGAACCACAGACACCUUGAUUACAUUAUUAUAGGAACUGAACCACAGACACCUUGAUUACAUUAUUAUAG
rnacentral:lncRNA from 13 species